rnacentral:lncRNA from 1 species
AUCGUAGUCAUUCAUUAUCACGGGCUUCUCUCUCUCGAAUACCUUUAACAUUUAUCGCCUUGUUAGUCUCCACAUCCACCUCCGUGAAAGAGAUGGAGUCUCGCUAUAUUUCCCAGUCUGGCCUCAAACUCCUGAUCUUAAGGGAUCCCCAGCUCAACCUCUCCCAGCAGCUGGGACUACCGGGCUGUCAAAUUUACAUUAACUAUGAGAAUUAAGCAGAAUCCGAAAGUCAUCUGAGUUGGCUAUCUGCACGUUCUCUCUGUACCAGUGAACUUGAACUGUGGCUGUGGCCUGGAUUCCGCAUUCAAACAUGACCAACUGACCUCUGGUUGUAGGGAUGUCUUGAAGAUGCUGAAGAACAAACACAGAGUUCAGAGGAUGGAAGAAACUGUUAUACCAUCUACAAUGAUUUGAAAUGCCAUUUGCAACUGCAGUUGACCGUGGGUUAUUGAAACCACAGAAAGUGA